rnacentral:rRNA from 1 species
GACGAACGCUGGCGGCGUGCUUAACACAUGCAAGUCGUACGGUAAGGCCCUUUCGGGGGUACACGAGUGGCGAACGGGUGAGUAACACGUGAGUAACCUGCCCACAACUUUUGGAUAACGCUAGGAAACUGGUGCUAAUACUGGAUAUGUGCUCCUGCUGCAUGGUGGGGGUUGGAAAGCUCCGGCGGUUGUGGAUGGACUCGCGGCCUAUAAGCUUGUUGGUGGGGUAGUGGCCUACCAAGGCGGCGACGGGUAGCCGGCCUGAGAGGGUGACCGGCCACAUUGGGACUGAGAUACGGCCCAGACGCCUACGGGAGGCAGAAGUGGGGAAUAUUGCACAAUGGGCGCAAGCCUGAUGCAGCAACGCCGCGUGCGGGAUGACGGCCUUCGGGUUGUAAACCGCUUUCAGCAGGGACGAAGCUUUUUGUGACGGUACCUGCAGAAGAAGCACCGGCUAACUACGUG